GGUUCGACUGCGGCUCAGAUUGAACGCUGGCGGGAUGCUUACACAUGCAAGUCGAACGGCAGCACGGACUUCGGUCUGGUGGCGAGUGGCGAACGGGUGAGUAAUGUAUCGGAACGUGCCUAGUAGCGGGGGAUAACUACGCGAAAGCGUGGCUAAUACCGCAUACCGCCCUUCGGGGGAAAGCGGGGACCUUUCGGGCCUCGCACCAUAGCGGCUGAUAUCGGAUUAGCUAGUUGGUGGGGUAACGGCUCACCAAGGCGACGAUCCGUAGCUGGUUUGAGAGGACGACCAGCCACACUGGGACUGAGACACGGCCCAGACUCCUACGGGAGGCAGCAGGGGAAUUUUGGACAAUGGGGGAAACCCUGAUCCAGCCAUUCCGCGUGUGCGAUGAAGGCCUUCGGGUUGUAAAGCACUUUUGGCAGGAAAGAAACGGCACGGGAUAAUACCCCGUGCAACUGACGGUACCUUUAAGUAAUAAGCACCGGCUAACUACGCGCCAGCAGCCGCGGUAAUACGCAGGGGUGCCGUUAAUCGGAAUUACUGGGCGUAAGCGUGCGCAGGCGGUUCGGAAAGAAAGAUGUGAAAUCCCAGAGCUUAACUUUGGAACUGCAUUUUAACUACCGAGCUAGAGUGUGUCAGAGGGAGGUGGAAUUCGUAGCAGUGAAAUGCGUAGAUAUGCGGAGGAACACCGAUGGCGAAGGCAGCCUCCUGGGAUAACACUGACGCCUGCGCACGAAAGCGUGGGGAGCAAACAGAUUAGAUACCCUGGUAGUCCACGCCUCAAACGAUGUCAACUAGCUGUUGGGGCCUUCGGGCCUUGGUAGCGCAGCUAACGCGCAGUUGACCGCCUGGGGAGUACGGUCGCAAGACAAAACCAAAGGAAUUGAUUAGACCCGCACAAGCGGUGGAUGAUGUGAUUAAUUCGAUGCAACGCGAAAACCUUACCUACCCUUGACAUGUCUGGAAUCCCGAAGAGAUUUGGGAGUGCUCGCAAGAGAACCGGAACACAGGUGCGCUUUAUUGCCGCCGCCUGUGUCGUGAGGUGUUGGGUUAAGUCCUGCAACGAGCGCAACCCUUGUCAUUAGUUAAGUUACGAAAGGGCACUCUAUCGAGACUGCCGGUGACAAACCGGAGGAAGGUGGGGAUGACGUCAAGUCCUCAUGGCCCUUAUGGGUAGGGCUUCACACGUCAUACAAUGGUCGGGACAGAGGGUCGCCAACCCGCGAGGGGGAGCCAAUCCCAGAAACCCGAUCGUAGUCCGGAUCGCAGUCUGCAACUCGACUGCGUGAAGUCGGAAUCGCUAGUAAUCGCGGAUCAGCAUGUCGCGGUGAAUACGUUCCCGGUCUUGUACACACCGCCUGUCACACCAUGGGAGUGGGUUUUACCAGAAGUAGUUAGCCUAACCGUAAGGAGGGCGAUUACCACGGUAGGAUUCAUGACUGGGGUGAAGUCGUAACAAGGUAG
rnacentral:rRNA from 1 species